CUUGCUCAUGAGACGCACUAGUGCUCUGAUAGCCCACCAGAUUUGACUUCUCAUACAUCGACGGCCACAAACCUCGAGUGGGGACAGAACAACUGCUUGGACACAUAAGCUGAAUUUGGACUUUGGGCAAUCAAAGCCAGCAACACAAACAUGGAUUUCUUCAAGGUGAUGGGAGAUGCUGCAGUAGGAGCUGUUGAGGGCACCGCUGGGGCUGUGAAAACUGUGGCGGACACCUCGGUAGCCACCGCCAAAGGUGCUGCAGAAGAAGGAGUUGCCAGGGUGGACAGAGCAGUCAAAGCCGGGGUAACAGGCAUUUUGCAGACCCCAGGGACAGUUGUGGCAGGAAUUCAGCAAGCAGCAGAUGCAGUUAUUAAAAAGUAACGCCUUUUAAUAAAACAUCCACCAAAGAGCUCCUUUUUGUGAUUGUUUAACAUAUUAAACACAAGAUGUUGAUAAGAAACCAGUCCACGCUACUCUGAAUGUAGAGUCUUUGAGUCUAUUUUCGUGUCAUUUCUGCUGCAUAUGCUGUAAAAACGUCUGGGUCCCACUUUAUUUUAAGUGCCGCUAAUAAAUGUGUUGUUACAUUUGAACAACAUAUGUAACAACUAUGUGAAUACUAAUGAUUUAGUCGCUGUUACAGAUGGAUUACAGCAGUACAGCUUAUGUAAUUACACGUGUAUCAAUGUCAGGUGUCAUAUAGGUACAAUGCAAUUACAGAGUGGUAAUUAAUAUGAUGUAAUUAGGUUACCUGGUUACAACACAGUUAUUCCACAGUAAUUAUGUAAAACAUCAUUGUAAUAUUGUCUGAUCUGUGGCGCAUGAAGUUAAUACACAUGUAAUUACACAGGCGCAACUUCUGUAAUCAUCUGUAAUGUGGCUUAAAUAUUAGUAGUUAGUGUAGUUACAUAUGUUAUUGAUGUGUAACUACACAGUUAUUAGAGACACUUAAUAUAAAGUGGGACCGUUUUUAUAGUGGAUAAAGGAAAUAUGUAAUUACUUAAAUUAAGACAUUAUUUACACUGUAUCUGCCAGCUUUCCUGACAUUUAUCCAGCGUUUAUGUUGUUAGUGCUGUGACCCUGUAACCAGUUUCAGCUUUAAACCAGUCUGUAAUGAGUCAGAACAGCAGACGCCCUUGAUAUUAACAUGUUACAUUAAUUAAAUGUGUUGCAUUUCCCCCAAAGCAACGUCUAUAUUACCCCUCCAUUACUACACAGGACCUGCCCACUUAUUAUGAAGUGUAACUGUAACUCUACACUAGAAAGCUCCUGUGUAGUUGUUGUGUAGGUACUGUGUAAUUAUGAAUUCAUGUGAUGAGAUGAAGUUUCCUUGUUACAACACAGUUACUCCACAGUAAAUACUGUAAUGUCAUGUAAAACGUACUUGUUUUAGCUGCUGGAAAAGACUUCUGACCUGUAGUGUAUGAAAAAUACAUACAUGUGUAAUUACAUGAAGCGAGACUGAAGCUGUUACACAUCUGUAAUUACAUAGGCUGUACUUCUGUUCUCCAUCUGAAACACAGGCUAGACCAUCAGCAGGUACAGUGUUGCUACAUAUGUUACUCAUGUGAAAUUACACAGUUAUUAUCGACACUUUAUAUUAAGUGGGAACAGCUUAAAUUUAAUGGUCAACAUGCGUUUUUGAAAAAAAAAAGCCAAAUAUAAAAAUAAACCACACAUUCUGUA